UUCCAGACUCCUACGGGAGGCAGCAGUGGGGAAUAUUGCACAAUGGGGGAAACCCUGAUGCAGCGACGCCGCGUGAGCGAUGAAGUAUUUCGGUAUGUAAAGCUCUAUCAGCAGGGAAGAAGAUGACGGUACCUGACUAAGAAGCCCCGGCUAACUACGUGCCAGCAGCCGCGGUAAUACGUAGGGGGCAAGCGUUAUCCGGAUUUACUGGGUGUAAAGGGGGCGCAGACGGCGAUGCAAGCCAGGAGUGAAAGCCCGGGGCCCAACCCCGGGACUGCUCUUGGAACUGCGUGGCUGGAGUGCAGGAGGGGCAGGCGGAAUUCCUGGUGUAGCGGUGAAAUGCGUAGAUAUCAGGAGGAACACCGGUGGCGAAGGCGGCCUGCUGGACUGCAACUGACGUUGAGGCCCGAAAGCGUGGGGAGCAAACAGGAUUAGAUACCCGCGUA
rnacentral:rRNA from 1 species